rnacentral:rRNA from 1 species
AUGAAUGUUCCACAUCUUCCCUUUUCAUGUGAAUUUAAUGAUAAUGAAACCUUGGCUUCUUAUGGUAAUGGUAUAUAUGAUUAUUAUGAUGUAGAACGAAUAGAAGAAUUUGUUGCUUUUAAGGGCGCUUAUGAAGUUGCAUCUUUGUUUGAAAAAUAUGAAGCUUUUGAUGAUGAUGUUUAUAGACCUGAAAAUUUUGCCAUCCUUAAAUAUUGCUAUGAUAAUUAUAAAUACAAUUCCGAUAUCGAUGAAUUUAUUGAGAAAGUCUCCGCUGUCCAAGAAGAGACUUAUAUUUUGCAGGAGUCUAUGGAAGAAGAAAUUGAUGAAACUGUGAGCUCAUUGGAUGAAAAAUAUGAUGAGGAGAGCGAAGAACAAAAGGAGGAAGAUCGGAUUAGCUACCCGUGCCCAGCUUCUAAUGAGAGUAACUCUUCAACUCAUACAUUAUUUAAUUUCCCUUCGUGCUUACCGAAGGAUGAUUGCCAUGAUAAUUGUUAUGAUCCCGUUGACUCAUUUGAAAUAUCCCUUUUUGAUGAACUUGAUGCUUGCUAUGCUUGUGGCCAAGAUGCCAAUAUGAAUUAUGCUUAUGGAGAUGAACUUGUUAUAGUUCCUUAUGUUAAGAAUGAAAUUGUUGCUAUUGCACCCACACAUGAUAGUCCUAUUAUCUUUUUGAAUUCUCCCAACUACACUAUAUCGGAGAAGUUUGCUCUUGUUAAGGAUUAUGUUGAUGGGCUGCAUUUUGCUACUACACAUGAUGAUUUUGAUGAAUAUAAUAUGCAUGUGCUUGCUGCUCCUACUUGCAAUUAUUAUGAGAGAGGAACUAUAUCUCCACCUCUCUAUGUUUCCAACACACACAAAAUUGCAAGAAACUGCUUAUGCUAUGUAUUGGCCUUUACUUGA